UUAAUGUUAUUUUUGAAUUGUGUAUUAAAUGAUGGCACAGGUAUCUGUCUAAACUAUAAAUUCUGUAUUCCAUUAAAUUUUGUCAUUAAUUUUGUUGGUGAAGAGUAAGAAAAAAAUAUAUUUUAGUUUUAAUAGCAUCCACGCCAAAUUCUUGCGGUAAAGUAAGUUUAAUAUAAGAUUAGAAUUCAUAUUUGUCUUCAUUUAUGUCUCAAAUUCCAUUUCCAUGUGUGGUGUGUAUCAUAAAAUUACAACAGAAAACCGCCGAACUGCUGGUUUAUAUUUAUUUAUCCUAACUUAUAAUUCACAUUAUCCACAGCGUAAAAAGAGAAUGCAUGAUAUACAAUAUGCCAAUCUGUAGUUAGUCCAAUUUUACUAAUAAUAGUCAGGCACAAUAAAUGUAUAACUUAUAAAAUUGUGAAAUGUUAUUUUUUUUUUAAAUAAAUUAAAUAGAAUAAAAAACCAGUUUUGUUGUUUAUUCGAGAAAUUUUUGUCCGAAAAACGAGAAGAUAAUUAAUUAAAUUUAUUUAUCAAAUGAAUAAUACUUAAAUAUAAUUAAUUAAUUGAAUGGUGGUUAUAAAUCUUGUAGUUUCAAUAAAUUCGAAAUUAUUAAUAUCAGAGAAGAAGAGAAACUUAUUGCAUCAGUCGAUAAAGGUGGGAAAAAUUUACUAUAGGUUUUACGUAAAAAAUGAUGAAUUAUAUGAUACACUAAAUGAGAUAUACGUUAAUAUUGGUCGUUGUGGUAAGCAUUGAGUGAAUAUAGAAAUAAAAAAAUUAAUACAGGUAUUUGACUCAAAAAGUGAUACUUUCUUAAAAUUUUGAGGAGCAUGUCAAACCAAAAUCUCAUCUAACCGAAAAGUGCUUGUAGGUAAACCGUUUAUUCAUUCUGAAUGAAUUUUAUAGUAAAUUAAUUGCAUAUGCAUUAAACAUUUUCUUUAAUAAUAUUUGUUUAAUUUUAUAUAAAUUUACCCGUUCUCUCGGUUUUUCCUAGUGAUACUUUCUUAAAAUUUUGCGGAGCAUGUCAAACACAAACGUCAUCUAACCGAAAAGUGCUUGUAGGUAAACCGUUUAAUCAUUCAGAAUGAAUAUCAUAGUAAAUUAAUUUCAUAUGCAUUAAACAUUUUCUUUUAUAAUAUUUGUUUAAUUUUAUAUCAAUUUACCCGUUCUCUCGGUUUUUCCUAUUUAUAAGUGUACAUGCGUUAAUCAAGACUUGGAGACAACAAAAUGAUUGUAGCUCACUUUUUACCUAAUCAAAUUUAUUUUAAUACUAAAAUAAUACUAUUAACAAAAGUAAUUUUAUUACUUAUUACUAAUAGUANUAACAUUUACUACCUCCUAAUUAUAGUCAUAUCAAAAUAACAAAUCGUACAAGUAGUAAUUGGCACAUAAUAGGUAUGUAGGCAUCUAUAUUAUAUUAUUCACGACUAAUAUCAUACGUAAAUAUUUUAUAAAACUAUGGUAUGCAAUUAUAUCAAUAAAUAUAAAUAAAUCAUCAUUUAUCUUUUAUAGUAAACAAAAAAGGGUAAAUUUCCGUAAUUUUAGUAAUUUUCGAAUUAUAAUACCCACGAAAAACCAAACUGAUUUUGUCUAAUUAAAAUCAACUUUUGUUGAAUAGGUGAUUUACAAAUUUGGCGACCUCUAGCAAGAACAUUUGGAUAAUCAGUCGACUACUGCCAUAACGUAACGUUUAGAAAAUUUUACUGUUAUCAAGAAUCAUACAUAUUUCCGACAAAUUGAUUUAUAAAACCAAAACUUUCAACUGAAAUAUUUAAGAUAAGGGCAAAAAACUUAACUUUGUGUCUUCUUUAAAUAUCGUAUCAUUUGCGUAUCUAUAUCUGAUUAAUUGAAAACAUGCCAUUAAAAUUUACCGCUGGUUAUGUUAUUAUCUAUUCUUUUAUGUUAGUGUUAGUACACGGUGACGGUGGAGGUACUCCUAAUGACCUACCUAUCGCUAAUAACCCUAACCCGCCACCUGAUAAUGCACCCCCAGCUGAUUGCCCCCCACCUUGUAAGAGAGACUUUCUUUGGAUCCAAAAUGUGUGUAAAAGAGGUGUACGUGAAUAUAGUCCCACUGUAUAUAAUUGUUUUUGUUGUAAGUGACGAUUUCAAUUAUUAAAGGCCCAAUUGCCAUUUAUUAUGCAAAUUCAAUAAUAAUGUUAAGUAUUCCAAAAGAUCUUUCCAUAAUUUAUUCUUAUAAAGAAGCACACUCACAAAUUGAGGCACUGCAAACAAUUAAAUUAAUUUACACCUACUCACUACAAAAUAAAUUGGGAUGACAUAAAGUGCAUAUAUCCUAAUAAUUAUAUAGUAUAAUAACUUUGCUGUGUUAACUAUAUAAUAACGUUAUUUUUGCAUAUUUAAAAAAUAAAACAUUAAAUGUCAACUUUUGUCCGUACAGUAUUUUUGUAAUACAUUUAUCAUAAGUGAUAAAAUAAAAUAGUUUUUAAAUACAGUUUAUUUGUUGUAUUGAUUUCAUGAGACAUUACUUACACAUCAUAUUACCUAUGAAGUUCCUGCGGACCGUAGUUAUUGCUUUGUGAUAUUGAAAACCACAACUCCAAUAUUAAGACAAAACAAUUACUUUCAUUGCAUUUUUUUAAAAUAAAAUACGUUCUUUAUAUUUAACAUAAUACGAGUCGUAGGGAAAUUAAUUUAAAUUAAAAAAAACUUAUUUUAAACGGUAAUUCUUUUAGAAAUGUUUACGUAAAGAACAAAAUAUGUUCCUUAAUAUAGUGUAAUUCUUAAACAAAUCAUUGUUGUGAAAUCAUUAUAUUCGACUGAACAUGACUUAGACUUCGAUUGUUCGUCAGCGAUGGUAACCAUCAAUUUUUUGGCAGGGAUUUGACUAUAAUGAAAAUUAAUUUUAAUAAUAUAAUAAUAUUAUUAACUAAAGUAUUUUAAUUACUUAUUACAAAUAGUAAUAACAAUUACUACCUCCUAAUUAUAGUCAUAUCAAAACAUCAAAUCGUACAAGUAAUAAUUGGCACAUAAUAUGUAUGUUGGCACCUUUAUUAUAAAAUUCAUGUCUAAUAUCAUACGUAAAUAUUUUGUACAAUAUUAUCAUGUUAUUAUAUGUCUUUAUUAAUAAUGCAUAGUUUAUAAUUAAUAGUAAUUAAAAAAAGUGAAAAUUUCCAUAAUUUUAGUAAUUUUCAAAUUAAAAUAAACACAAAAAAAUAAAUUUUGAUCCUGUAUCGAGUAGGCAGUGAACCUAGCGGUAAUUUUAACUGCAGUAAUUUUUUUCAAUUAAUUUAUCUUAGACCGUCAAGUGAAAGUGAUUACACCGUAAUAAUCUACCUUAAAGUUAGGAUUAUAGUGUUUCAAUAAUUUUAAUGAUUUCAAAAGUACAGUAUUUUAUAUUUAAAAAUUUAAUGAGUUUUAAUAUCAUUAUAAUAUAACUGAUUUUGUCUAAUUAAAAUCAACUUUUGUUGAAUAGGUAAUUUAUAAAUUUGGCGAUCUAAACCUCUAGCAAGAACAUUUGGAUAGUCAGUCGACUACUACUAUAACGUAACGUGUAGCAAUUAUUACUGUCAACUGGAAUCAUACCUAUAUACUAAAUAUCAAUUGUUAAGACCGUAACGUUUAACCGAAAUAUAUUAAAAUUAAAGCAUAAAAUAAAUUUUGUGUCUCCUAAGAAUAUCUUAUUAUUCG